rnacentral:misc_RNA from 1 species
AAGGAGUCUAACAUCUAUGCGAGUGUUCGGGUGUCAAACCCCUACGCGUAAUGAAAGUGAACGGAGGUGGGAGCUUCGGCGCACCAUCGACCGAUCCUGAUGUCCUCGGAUGGAUUUGAGUAAGAGCAUAGCUGUUGGGACCCGAAAGAUGGUGAACUAUGCCUUAAUAGGGUGAAGCCAGAGGAAACUCUGGUGGAGGCUCGCAGCGGUUCUGACGUGCAAAUCGAUCGUCAAAUUUGGGUUUAGGGGCGAAAGACUAAUCGAACCAUCUAGUAGCUGGUUCCUGC